AGAGAACACUGUUGCCAGCUUGGGGCAGCGGUGAGCUCUGCCUGUGGAUGGGGGCGGUUCCUUGUUCAGGCAGUUUCCUGCAAGGGUGAGGGCAGACACCCUAGGGGCCCUGGGAAGGAUGCCACUGGCUGAAGUUCCUUACAGGAGGCCUGGACUCCAGAUGCUGCACUCACAUCCACUGUGCCACCACACCAAAUGACUCGGACUCAGGGAACACACCAGCCACCAGAGAGCUAAGUCACCCUUACACAGGGAGGACUGGCAAGUGACAGUCAACGAGGCUGAUGGAGAGUUCUCAUGCUAAAAGAUCCUCAAACAGCAAUACGCCAUGUGCUGGUGGCAAUGUCCAGGUGAGAGAAAGAGGACACAGCCAGCCUGGUAACAGCAAGCAACUCAGAUGCCUGUAUCUGGAAGAUACUUCACAGAACCAGUCUUUGUGCUACUGAAAAGAUCUUGAACAUGCAGAUGAACACACUCCAUAAAAAAGUCACCUUUCAUUUAGGAGACAAGAAAUGCUCCCGUCGGACAUGGCUCAGAGUUCAGGAGCUGAUUCCUGGUGAUCUCAGUGGGUGAUUUCGUGUUGACCCCAUUUUGGAGAGCUCAAGUUUAGACAACUGAGAGAAGAAAGCAGUCAGCACAACAUGGCUAAUGUUAAUUUGCUACCUGGAGGCUUCCAGGGCAGGGACCCCAGAAACUUUUCACCAUUCGCCUCUCUCACAUACAGUGGGGCUUUGCCAGCCACCUCCUGGGAACCCCCAACCAGAUGGGUGGAGAGGCCUCGACCGCCUGCACCUGGCGCUCAUCAGCAGAAAGUCACUUUUCCCUGGGCUGACAGUCCCUUCCCACAGCAAGGCUCAGAACAGCUAUGACGGGACCUCAACGCAGCUGGCUGAGGGCCCAGGAACCUCUGAGAAUGAAGCACUUCCCUGUUGCUUUCAGAUGGCUUGUCUAGAAGAUGAUUAAAUAAAA
rnacentral:lncRNA from 1 species